CUCCUACGGGAGGCAGCAGUGAGGAAUAUUGGACAAUGGUCGGAAGACUGAUCCAGCCAUGCCGCGUGCAGGAUGAAGGUCUUAUGGAUUGUAAACUGCUUUUGUAAGGGAAGAAUAAGGGCUACGCGUAGUUUGAUGACGGUACCUUACGAAUAAGCAUCGGCUAACUCCGUGCCAGCAGCCGCGGUAAUACGGAGGAUGCGAGCGUUAUCCGGAAUCAUUGGGUUUAAAGGGUCUGUAGGCGGGCUGGUAAGUCAGAGGUGAAAGCGCUUAGCUCAACUAAGCAACUGCCUUUGAAACUGUUGGUCUUGAAUGGUUGUGAAGUAGUUGGAAUGUGUAGUGUAGCGGUGAAAUGCUUAGAUAUUACACAGAACACCGAUAGCGAAGGCAUAUUACUAACAAUUAAUUGACGCUGAUGGACGAAAGCGUGGGGAGCGAACAGGAUUAGAUACCCUGGUAGUCCACGCUGUAAACGAUGGAUACUAGCUGUUUGGUUUAAGGAUUGAGUGGCUAAGCGAAAGUGAUAAGUAUCCCACCUGGGGAGUACGUUCGCAAGAAUGAAACUCAAAGGAAUUGACGGGGGCCCGCACAAG
rnacentral:rRNA from 1 species